GUUUUUGAGACAGGCUUUCUCUCUGAGUCUACUUGUCUUGUUUCUGUAGGAAAUGUGAGUGAAUAGGCACUCCCCGACUGGCAGUGCUGCUGUGGGAAGCUGUGGAACUUUCGGAAGUGGAACCUGGCUGGCAGAAGUAGGGUGCUUGGGGGCAUGCCUUGAAGGUUACACUUCUUCCGGUCUGUGUCUCCUCCCUCUGCUUCUUGAUGUUCUUCCCAAGUUCAUGGAGUCCAGCAGCCAUGGAACCCUCAGAAACUGUGAGCCAAAAGCUUUCUUCAUGGGGAGAAUUCCUCUUCUUGUUCACUGGAGUCAUUGUUAGAACCCUGUUCCUUUCUGGACAGUAGCUGCAGACAGUUCAAAGCUUUCAGAGAAUGCACACACUCAAUGCCAGUACCAAUCCCUGAUUGACAAGACUUCUGAGCCCCACUCCUGCCCAAUCGGGAGUUCAACCCCCAUCUGAAUCCAGAAUUCCCCUACCUCGAUCCUUUACUCUUUAAAAUCCCUGCCAUAACUGAGUUCAGGGCUCUCCUUGAUCCAACCGCUGUGUUGGAACAGACAGAGAGCCCAAGCUCGAGCUCGCAAUAAAGGCUCUUUGCUUUUGUUUAUGAA